UAAAAUACUGGAAAUUAACGUUCCAGAAUUGUUUUCAUAUUGAAAAUAAAAUGAACAUAAAAUAUGUAUACAGAAUUUUCAUCCCAGAAAGUAAAAAACCUGAAAUUAUAAUCACAGAACGUAGUUAUACAGAAAGUGAUAACGUCGACCAUAAUUUUCCGGAAAAUUAAAUUCCAUAAAGUUUAAAGCCUGAAAUUAUAAUCACAGAACGUAGUUCUACAGAAAGCACGAUUUAAUCGAAAAUAUUUAAAUAUCCCUCGACUUGCUAUGCAACACCACAUCAAGUAGAUCACAGGGUAAGUUAUGUUGUAUAGUAUGGGCAGUGAUGCCUUGUUAGCGGCACUCGUCGCUGCGCUCCUCGGCGCCGUCGCUCCGCUCCGCAAAUCGAAAAUAUCCCUCGACUUGCUAUGCAACACCACAUCAAGUAGGUCACAGGGGAGAUAGUAGUGAAAGCAACGAUGAACAUGAUGUCAGCGAUGAUCCAAAUAAUGAUAGUUACGUUGAGAUCACGGAAGAUAAUGUCGACACCACCAAAGGAGACAAUAAUAUGAAGGACAAAAAAAUCUUGAUUGGUCGAGUGACACUACCAAUAUAGAAAAAAAUACAUUUAGUGCACCUGCAAUGGCUCCCCGAAAAAAAGAAGAAAAAAGAGAAAGAUGAAAAUGAAAUACGUGUGUCCCAGGCAUACGAGUAUUUAAUGCAAAAAAAAAAAAGAGAGCCAAACAAAAAUGGAGAAGGACGAAUAUGAUAUUUAUGGUGCUUUGGUAGCAACAAAACUUCGAAAAA